rnacentral:rRNA from 1 species
UACGGAGGGUGCAAGCGUUAUCCGGAUUCACUGGGUUUAAAGGGUGCGUAGGUGGGUUGGUAAGUCAGUGGUGAAAUCUCCGUGCUUAACAUGGAAACUGCCAUUGAUACUACUGAUCUUGAAUUUUCAGGAGGUAAGCGGAAUAUGUCAUGUAGCGGUGAAAUGCUUAGAUAUGACAUAGAACACCAAUUGCGAAGGCAGCUUACUACAGGAAUAUUGACACUGAUGCACGAAGACGUGGGGAUCAAACAGG